rnacentral:misc_RNA from 1 species
UUUCCUACUAUACCUGAUAAGGAACCCUCAGAGGUAGAACGAGGAUGAAGUGGAGAAGUUUCCUCUCGAUGAAUCCCACCACAAGAGAUCCGAUUCCGGCCAGGAGAACCAGUAGAUCGAGUUGACUCAGGUGACAUCAGCUGGUUGCCCCUGGAUUGAGGAAAAACAUGUGAAUCCCUGGGCAUGCCACCAGACUCAGCAUGUACAAGAAGUGGUAAGGAUUGAUUGAAGCUGACUGACUUCACAGGAUCAGGCAGCUUCACAUU